AACGUAGGACGCAAGGCGUUAUCCGGAAUUACUGGGCGUAAAGCGCGUGUAGGUGGUUUAGUAAGUCACUGUUGAAAGCUCCCGGCUAAACUGGGAGAGGUGCGGUGAGACUGUAGAGCUAGAGUUUGGGAGAGGGGUGCGGAAUUCCGGGUGUAGUGGUGAAAUGCGUAGAGAUCCGGAGGAACGACCAGAGGCGGAAGGCGGACACCCUGGCCUAAGUACGUGACACUGAGACGCGGAAAGCAAUGGGGAGCGAACGGG
rnacentral:rRNA from 1 species